GCGGGUCGCGCGGGAGAGUGUUCGAUGACAGCAUCGGACCGCCGAAGGCGUAACCCCCAGGAAUCGCUCAGGCACAAGGGACCGCGCGAACGCA
rnacentral:ncRNA from 2 species